GUAAGACCACUCUUGCUCAAUUAGCAUACAAUGAUAAGGUGGUUAUUCAACACUUCGAUAUUAGGAUGUGGAUUUUUGUCUCUUCUGAUUUCAAUGAAUAUUUAUAUACGAUUGAUAUGAGUAAUGCUCAUGAAUGAUUUGAAGUACUGGGCGUACUUUUGAUCACCUGGUUAGUGGUAAUAGCGGCAGGUUGCCGAAAUAAUUUUGGAGUACUGGGCGUACUUUUGAUCACCUGGUUGGUGGUAAUAGCGGCAGGCUGCCGAAUAAUUUUGGAGUACUGGUCGUACUGUUGAUCACCUGGUUAGUUCUUUUUUGGGCUUAUGGGCCUUCGCCCUCCACAACAUGCCAGCCUAUUGAUUUUAGGCUUUACCUUUUUUUUUUUACCCUCUGAUGGGGUUUAUAAAGAUGUCUCUGAAAGAUAAGAAAAAUACAUCAUUCAAAAAUAAAGGUUUUGACAGUUGCCAUCAUCAUCAUGGUGUGGACUGCACCACCCCACCAUGCAUCCCAUUAAUAUUAUCUGUUGCAGCAUUAUGACCAUGCACAUGAAACUGCUGUCAAAUUUGAAUUCGAAUGAGCUGGCUUGUUGGCCCAUCAUCAUCAUGGUUGUGAACUGCACCACCCCACUAUGCACCCCAUUAAUAUUAUCUACUUUUGUUUACUUUCUCUUUUCUUUUUUUCUUUUCACUUUUGCUUUGCACCUUUGUCUCUACUUUUCUCUAGACAUCAUUCUACUUUUUUCUAACAGUCAUGGCUGGUCUUGGUUUGAAGCCAUGAUCGAUGGUGAUGCACACAAAAAUAUAGAAGAAAAACAAGGCGAGGAAUGUAUACAUAGAGUUACUGGAAUACUAGAAUUGAGCGGCACCAGAGGGCUGGCUUACCACUUUAUCUGCCCAAGGUGUGUUUGCAAGCAUUUCAGGAGAGUCAACAAGGCCAGUCAAGCGGUGGAAUUAAUGGUGUGGACAGAGUGCAGCAUGAUUCUAUGCUUUCCUAGUCGAUCAUGGUGUUUUCUGAGGCUCUAAUCAAUAACAUGGACACUUUUCUCUUUUUUUAUUUAUCUAUUUUAUUGUUGAUAAGAAACAAUUGUAUUAGAGAAGAACAAACACAAAUAGGACAGAUUUUGGAUCCUCUUCUCUACCAAUUAGUAAAAAAAGGGGACCCAAUAUUUGAGUGCAAAAAGAAAAAACAGAAAGAGUUGGAAGCGAGUGCUAGUGAGAAGGGAGCGGAUGCGGGUGGGGGAAGUCGAGGGGAAAAUGAUAAAACUUGGGUUUAGGCUAGAUUGACUACAAUUAUAAAAACUAAUUUAGAUUCAUUGCUGCAACAGGUACUCAUCGCUGCAAUUUGUAAGUGUGUUCCUAGAAAAGCUUACUAAAAUCUGAAAACGCGUUUGCCAGAGACUAUUACAGGUUGGAAGAAUACGUUGUACGCCAAUGGAACAAUUCAAAAGCAUGAUUUGGAAAGCUUUGAGCAGGAAAUACACUCAAAACGAAGACCAACAUAGGGUCAGCAAUAACUUUCAACCUCUGAAGUGAGGUUUUUUAAAUCAGAUUCUUUUUCAUGACAUCACACUAUUCCAUCUUCACGCGCAAUAUUCAUGCGAUCUCACUUAAAAAGUAUGCUAUUCUGUCAUCUCAUAUAUAUUUUUAAGUUAAGAUCAUCUUCAAUCGUUGGGCUAAAUGCCAAAAUUUUUAGCUCAAAAAAUUUAGCUUUAAACUCAGAAACAGUUUUUCUGUUCCAAUCCUUCUGGCCUAAAAUUUUAACCCGGGAUUAUUAAAGAUUGAACUUAGGCUAUUUUUUUUCUUAAUUUUUUUUUAAUAAAUAAAUAUGUAGACUAUCGUAAAUUAAUUUUAUUAACAUUUUAAUCUAAAAAUAUUUAAAUUCCGAUAAAUAUUGAAAAAUUACUAAAUUUUCUACAAAGUAAGCCUUCAACUUUCACCAAUCUUUCAACCCUGGGCUAACUUUCCGUUCAACACCAAACUUUCAAGGUUCACCAACCGUUCAACUUUCAUCAAUCAUCCCUUAUAUAAACAUAUGUCCAGUAUUAGUUGAUCACACAACUUUUCAACCUUCAAUCAUCCUCUAUAUUCAUCAAUCUUUCAAAUUUCGAAGAGUUUUUGUUCCCUAAAAAUCCUCAAUAUCUCAUGAAUGGGUGAUAGAAGAAUGCGUAGCAUGACAAUGCAGAUGACACAAUACCAAGCAAUGAUUGAGAUUGAGGAUGCAAAUGGCACAAUACCAACAUGAUUGUGGAAGAUGAGUACAUCGAAAUUGAAGAAGAUUCAGACGAAGAUGUGGAUGAUGACCAAUCAACACAUGCGAGAGCUAUUGCAAGAGAUGUUGAAUAUCUCGCUCCAACCACAUAUGAGACCCGACAGGAUGGGGUCACCUUGAGUGAGUAUAUGAGACGUUUAAAUAGAGUGUACGAAUGGUGAAAACCAGCUUAACAAAGCUGAAGAGAGUGGGAAUAAGUGUCAUUCCCAUAGGCGGCGCCAAAUGUUGAUGCACAAAAUCAGUGAGGACUUUGGUACAACAGAAAAUGUUAAGUUUGUGACAUUCGCUAGAUUGCUCCAGUCACUAGUGUGGAUAAGUAUGUAAAUGGAUAGAGACAGGGAAGCAAACACAAGAUGUACGUGGUUCACCCAGAUUGGCUACCUCUACGGAGUAUAAGAGUUUUCAUUAAUUGUGAAGGGUUUACACAAGUACAUAGGUUCAAGCUCUCUUUUAAUGAGUAAAAGUGAAUGAUUUAGUACAAAUGACAUUAGGAAAUAUUGUGAGAGAAUGAUCUCUAUUUAUAGAAGAGAGUUUCUAGUUUCAUUCUGACAUUGACAAGUGUCGUGUUGUGAUUGGCUUAUGAUGUUGACACGUGUCGCGCUAUGAUUGGCUUCUGAUGUCGACACGUGUCGCGCUGUGAUUGGUCUCCUGGUUGGAGGGAAACUCUUCUGGGUCCUUGACGGUAUAAUGUUGAUCGGUGCUUAGUAGUUUCGGGAUUGGUUAAGUAUGGUACAAACAAUAUAUUUGCCCCUUGCUUUAUUACAUAAUUACAUUUAAGUCCUCCGAGUAUUUGUACGAGAUCUAAAUACGGAGGCCUUAAGUAUGGUAUAACAGUAGUCCCUCAAGUCUUCAGUCAGAAGAGUCUUUUGGCUGACUUGAAAUUCAGUCCAUGUGUGGACCGAAGUAACUAGAUGUCGUCUAGAGCUGAAUACUCGAUAUGAGGCGGCGCUCAAUGUGAAAUGAGGCUCAACUAGAUGUAGCACAUGUUGCGAGUCUGCUCGGCUUCUGGCUUAUGUUGCCUUGGUUAGCUCGGCUUGUGGCAUUUGAAGGUGAGGGAAUCUCUUUUAUAGAAUAAGGGAUCACUCCUCAAUACAUAAAUGAUGGGUUAGAGUUGAUGCUCGAGGCGAGGCGGUUGCUCAGUAGGCAGUGAUGCUCUCUAAUGAAGGUGAGGGAGUCUCUUUUAUAGAAUAAGGGCUCGCUCCUCAAUAUAUGAAUAAUGGGUGCUUUCUAAUGAAAAUGAGGGAGUCCCUUUUAUAGAAUAAGGGCUCGCUCCUCAAUACAUAAAUAAUGGGCUAGAGUUCCCCAAGUAUUUUUCAUGAAGUCCAGUUGAGGCCCAAUAUAUGGUAUAUAAUAUAGUCCCCAAGUCUUCGGUCAAUAAAGUCUGUUGGCUGGAGACUUCAAAUUAAAUCCAUGUAUGGGCCGAAAUGGCGGUUGUUCGGAGGCAAUAUUUGUAUACCUUGCACUGAAGCUUUGUAGGUGAAGCUUUGCAAGUGAAACUUUGAAGCUGAAGCUCUGCAAAUGAAGCUUUUGAAGCUAGAGCUCUGUAAAUGAAGCUUUUGAAGCUAGAGCUUUUGUAAAUGAAGCUUUUGAAGCUAGAGCUCUGUAAAGGAAGCUUUUGAAGCUGAUUGACAUGAGUGAUGCUCAUGAAUGUUUUUGUUGAUUGACAUGAGUGAUGCUCAUGAAUGUUGACAUGAGUGAUGUUCAUGAAUAUUUAUAUAUGAUUGAUAUGAGUAAUGCUCAUGAAUGAUUUGAAGUACUGGGCGUACUUUUGAUCACCUGGUUAGUGGUAAUAGCGGCAGGUUGCCGAAAUAAUUUUGGAGUACUGG
rnacentral:lncRNA from 1 species